UUCAUCUUCACUAACGCUACCCACCAACAAUCAAAGAAAAAAACAAAGAGGGAUGACCAACACCAUCGGCCACCACCGAGCUACCUUCGUCAUAAUUCUGAUUUGCCUUACUUGUAAAUCUUUGCUACUCAUAUUCGUCUGUACCCUCUCGUCUCUUCGGUCUUCUUUCUCAAGUACUCCAGCCACCACAUCCUUGUUGUUGACCACCUUCUAUCUCGGCAUCUCCGACCACCAAAGGGUUGGCUUUUUUCUAUUUGCGUGUUGUGGAACCUUAAAUCAACGCCAUCACCAGUCCAAUAUACUUCCAAACAAAAGGAUUGUAGGGAAGUAUAGGGCUUAUGGUGGAGAUCUGGAUACCAACUUGGAUCGUGAUAUCACUUUCCGAACUGAUAUUUCUACCAUAUGUUUGGGUUACAAGAAAUUUAGCCUAGGAUAAUCCAAGUGGACACUUACAAUUCUAGGCACAGAAAUCGUAAGCCAAUAUGCUAGAGGAUUUUGUGAAAGUAUGAUGAAAACGGGAGCUUAAGAUCGUGACCCUCUUCUGAAGAGGAAGAACUGUUUAUAUAUUAAACGAGAUUAGGGUUUCAUUAGGGUUGGGCCGUCAUUAGUUGCUUUGGAAGCAAGUAAUGUUAAUCCGGAUUUAAUGAGGAUUUAGGGUUACCAAAACUAACGAGUUUCGUUAGUUUUACCAUAAAGUUUUGAGUGGCUUGAACGAACCAGUGCGAGAGAUUUUUUCAACAACUAGCUUCGGUUACUUGUUGGACCUACCGACUCAGUCCGGAGACAGACUUCUUAUUCAUGGGCUGUUCCUGCAUAUGUUGGACCCUACUGCAGAAACGGACGCAAUGUCUACAUUUUAGGUUUUCUAGACGUACACUGUCAUUUGGGCCCUAGGAGUUUUGUUUUGUGCCUUGAAUUUGCAUGGGCCAGUGUCCUAGAUCAAGGAUCGAAUUCUCUACUAUGUAUAAACACGGAUAUGGUGAAAAUACAUUUUGGUCAAGAGUGUUCCCAUAUCGCAUGGACACUAGUUUACUUGUAGAAGAUUUAGAGCUCCUUAUCAUGAAUCAACAGUUCAAUGAUGCUCAUGACGGUGUCCGUGGCAUUUUGCUAUAUAUUAUCAAUCAAGGUUUUUUUUUGGGAAAAAAGCCUAAUGAUAAAGUCACCAAGGAAUUUUCGUGGGUGGUGGAGAACUUGGAUCAAUGGAAUAGGUAUUUGUCAAUUUAAUAUUUAUAAUAAAGGCUCUCUUGGGGGAGUUAUCUAUGAUCUAAAUCAUACCCUAGAUCGUCGAGUAUGUUUAAAGAAUUUGAGGAUCAUAUGUGCAAGCAUCCAACAAAGCCAUAUGUGUAUACAUUAUCGGGUUUUGUUAUUCCUUUGAAGGAGAAUGAGAAUGUGGAUGCUACUUAUCGGAUGCUAGGCCCGGUGAGUCAACAAUUCGGUAGUCCACGGAAAUCAAAUCGAGUAAACGAGGAUGAUGAUGUGCAUAAUCCACCAGAGUUUGAUUGUAGAAAACAAAAACAAAUCAUGAAAGAGAAGAAGAAGAAAAAGAAGGUUGUUGAUAGGGACAUUGUGGAUGCGGAUAAUCAUAUUCCCGGACCUCCUAUUGCAAAACCAAGUCGCCCGGCUAGGUUAUUGAAACCUUCAUAAUAUCUUAGCUCUCCAUACAUUUCAGUUCAAAAUGCCCCCCGAUAUUGUACAAGUGGGGUAAUACGCAACGAACCACCACCCACGUAUCUGUCAGCGAUCCCCUGACAAUUUUAUUAGAGCCGUAUGUGAUGCCGGGUUGUAGCGCCCCUUCUCUAUACAUGGAAAACAAACCAGCUGUUUUUAUGAAACAUCGGUUAUAUAAUGAAAAAAUGGAAGCGAAGUUUUGGGAUCUGCUUUUUUAUACAAGUGGCUUGAGAUUUUUAGAUGAAGAGACAUAUGGGGAAGACUUUUGAAUGAGCGUAGACCGAACAAUGCUCGAUGGACAAUCAUGCCAUCGUCAUUUUUCGGUGCAUUUGAGAUGUUCCAGUGGGCAAGAAGUGCAAUGGGAAAUCCGAUUGACCCGUUGGAUGACACAAAAUCUUGGCUAGAAGUUGACCGUGUAGUAAAGAAAUAAUAUAUAUAUGAGUCAAUUAAAUUGUCAUAUUACACUAAUUAAACGUUGUAAUUAAUUGUAACGGUUGUGUGUUAAAACAUGUUUACUUUCCGAUUUGCAUCAACCCAUAUCAUUGGGUACUUGGCGAGUUAUGGAUGGACACGUUAUCAUUGAAUUUGUAUGACAACUUGCGAUCUUUUGGCCGUGAACCUUAUUGAUUUUGUGCGGUUUGAAAAGCUUAUGAACCACAUUCUACGUGGCAUUGGCUACUGGAACCACAUGGAUUUUCCUCCUCAGAAAACAUCCAUUAAUGUUACGGAUGUUACGGACGUGCCCCAACAAGAAGGGAUGUUUGAAGAGUGCGGUGUAUUUAUGUUGAUGUACAUUGAGCAGCUUGUUUCAGGUCGAUCGAUUGGUAUAUCGACGACACUUGUUAUUGCUGCUAUGCAGUUUCGCACUAGAAUGGGCAUGAUAUAUUAUGUAUCUUCUAGAAAGUCGAUUUUAAAUUAGUCUCAUUUAUAGAUUUGUAGUGACACUUAAUGUGUACAAUUUCAUCAUGAUUGGUAACGUUCUAUUUUUGUUUAUGUUAACAGAAUGUCUCCUAAUUAUUAAACAUAAA